AUUGAACGCUGGCGGCAGGCCUAACACAUGCAAGUCGAACGAGUGGCGGACGGGUGCGUAAUGUCUGGGACACUGCCCGAUGGAGGGGGAUAACUACUGGAAACGGUAGCUAAUACCGCCUACCUUCGGCUGUGCCCAGAUGGGAUUAGCUAGUGGGUGGGGUAAAGGCUCACCUAGGCGACGAUCCCUACCUGGUCUGAGAGGAUGACAAGCCAAACUGGAACUGAGACACGGUCCAGACUCCUACGGGAGGCAGCAGUGGGGAAUAUUGCACAAUGGGCGAAAGCCUGAUGCAGCCAUGCCGCGUGUAUGAAGAAGGCCUUCGGAUUGUAAAGUACUUUCAGCGGGGAGGCGUUACCAGCAGAAGAAGCACCGGCUAACUCCGUGCCAGCCGCCGCGGUAAUAC
rnacentral:rRNA from 1 species